CUUUUUUACCUGCAUUUUGUAGCCACGUGGCUAGCUAAAACUUUCCCUCGUUUUCUCAACAAAGUCCUCUGAAGAAAGAGGAUUCGGUUCUACAGCAAUGGCUGCAUUUGUUUGCAUCAUUAGGUGAUCGUGCAAAGAGCUGGGAUAACGUGGCUGUGUUAGUUGACGAAACUAUUAAACCACAAGCUCCGUGUAGCCCAUUCCUACAGACCCCAACACGCCAGAACAUUAAACCAAAGGCCACUCUAAUAAGGAAUAAGAACACAGCAAACAGACAAUCAGCCCCUGAACAAAGGAUCCGCAAGGGCGAGGGCUACUCGC